GGUUGGCCGGUAGGUGGCAUCAUUCCUCUACGGAGUCACUCCGGCAACUCCCCGGGCACUGAGGAGGAAGAAGCCUAGGAGGCAGCCACCUCGACGGCCUUCUGCAACCUGGCGCCCUCCGGAAAGUUGGACUACAGCCCGCACAAUGCCCAGCUAGCACGGUCAUUCGACCGGUUUGCUUGAAGAAGUUUGCUGCCCGAAGAUUAGCGGAGGCGAGCACGACACCAGAACCUUGCUCCACGCCUACGUUUCCCUCGUCAAACCUGUGUGGGUGAAGGCGCCCACUUUCUUCGCGGGUUGGACCGACGAACGGCCGGGGAACUUUUCAGUUGUCCUUCUCCUGAGGCGCUUCUUCUCUCUUACUGCCGCAGUCGUGGCUCGGUGAAAGGCGGCGACCGGGUCAGAGAUGAUCUGCCGUUCUAACACGCGAGUCAGUCCAAUUCACUCAAUCAGAAUCGGCCGCUUCUCUCGCGGGUUAACAGCCCCUUCCUUUCCCACCGCUUUGGAGGGAGCUUAGAGAUGGAAGUCUUUAUUUUAUGAUCAGAGCGCUCAGGCAUAAUCUCCCCCAACCGUCGGAAGAGAGGAAUGGAAACGGACUGAAAGGGGAAUGUUGGACGGGUGUAUAUAAACUGUAACGAAUCCAGCCUUCGGGCGUGUCACAGGAUCUCCGUUUCUCUCGUUACCGAAUAAAGUCGGCGGUUAUUUACGUUUCUGGUCCUUUUCGGGUAACCUCAUCCUAGGAACAGUGUUUACCACUCGGAAUUAACAGGUCUGAUACAUCCAGUCCGUUGUGCAUCCGAUGGAAGUGAUGCACCUGAGCCACGUAGCUUUAAUAAAUGUAUUCUUUAUCCAUCUCUCCUCUCUCACCCCCAAAGCCGACUAAAUACCUGAUCUCUAUGGAAAUUUCCCCCAUUUAGGCUUAUUCUUCAGCCAAAAAAAAAAGGUACACGCAAUUCCUUAGAAAUUAAGUCUUAUUUCUGGGGAAAUAUGCCCAGAUGCAAACAUUUCCCAUGCAACUCAACUCGAACUGAAAUAUUCUGAAAUAGAAGAAAACCGAAAUAAAAAUAAAAUAGUACAUACACAUGA